AAACCGUUUAGGGGUAAACCUGAGAAACCCGAAAGGUCGAAGGGAGAAAUUCAUUCGCGUUUCGCCGUUGGCGUGAGACGGUCGUGUGACGGAAAACGUUCGCGUUUUCCGCGCCUUUCGUUUUUCGAUCCGAUAGCGAACGCGUGCACUUUUCUCCUGGUAGGACGUCGCGAUCCGUUGGGUGUCGGUCUACGGCUCGCGGUGGAGCCCGGAUGUACGGCUUGCCGUCACGUCCGGACCCGCGUGUCCCGGCUGACUCGCUCGACGGUAUACGAAAGGUUUAAGGCCGCUCUUAGAGCGUUCGGCUCGUCGCAAGCGCGUCAGAUGUGUGUCGGUGAUCGGACCUAGUGCCGGUUCUGACCUCUGGCGACUGUUGGCGGCGAAGUUCUCGAACAGACCUUUUUGACCGAUCUGCGACGCUAUAGCUUUGGGUACUUUCAGGACCCGUCUUGAAACACGGACCAAGGAGUCUAGCAUGUGCGCGAGUCAUUGGGAAUCACUAAACCUAAAGGCGCAAUGAAAGUAAAGGUCCGCCUUGCGCGGACUUAGGGAAGACGAGCGGUUUACCCUUAAAAGUGACCGCUCCGCAUUCCCGGGGCGUCUCAUUCUCAUCGCGAGAAGAGGCGCACCAAGAGCGUACACGCUGGGACCCGAAAGAUGGUGAACUAUGCCUGGUCAGGACGAAGUCAGGGGAAACCCUGAUGGAGGUCCGUAGCGAUUCUGACGUGCAAAUCGAUCGUCGGAACUGG
rnacentral:rRNA from 1 species